UGGCUACUUCUUGAUCCAUUGC
rnacentral:siRNA from 1 species